GUAGAGGGGGGUGAAGUGAACGAUGCCAUUGUUCCGCUCAAAGAUUUUUUCAUAAGUUAUCGGACGUGUUUUAAAUGUUUCGUAUUUUUUAUUUUUUUUAUUGUUGACCUCCUUAUUAUAGUUUACGGACAUGGAAUGCGUUCUUUUGGACAUAAUUCAAAAUAGUAUUACUUUACAUGCAUGUUGCGGGUGUCAAAAUGGGUGGUGAACUGUAUGAGUUUUAAGGAUAAUUUAACUUAAUGAGCAAAACUAAUGAAAGGGUCGUGAAGGAAAGCAGCUAAAUAUUUCAGAGGAGCGCCAGUCUUCUCCAUCUCCCAGACGCUCUAUAGCCCGUAAUAGAGUGCACAGAAUGACGCCAUAAUCGCUAUUUCAUGAUUUAAUGCCGUUUUUUAGCAUCAUUUUUAGGUUUUGUGAGCUGGUGGGUAUGGAAAAAGAUUUGGUUUAAUUAUACAAUGUGAUUUAUCUCCAGGAUGAAGAGGAAAAUGGCAAUAUAUAAGGGUGAAGCCAUAGGACCGCCAUAGACACCCACAAAACGCUUUAUUUCCCCGGCCAUGGUAAAUAUUGUGCCUUUUAGUGAAGGAACACAAAUAACGUAACACCAAUGAAAGGUAAACACGUGAAAAAGCAGCACAGAGGACGAAUAGGAGGAGAAAUAAGGCCUAGAUAAGGGUGUACCGAGCACCAAGACCCAGGCCGAGACCAAGAGGCGGGGACCAAACAAAACCCGCCGCCGAGUCCAUAUUUCUCCCUUUUACCCGUGUUUUACGCCGCCAAGAUGAGCGAGACGAGUGCCGUGUUGGAGAAGCCACUCCGUGCCGUCUGUGCUCUGAAGAACGAAGGAAGAACAGAAGAAAGGAAGGAAGGCCAUCUUGGAAGACUCAAGAACCAGUCACCCCAGUCCAAGGAAAGGUCACAAGAGGUCAAGGAGGUCACAGUACGAAGAAGCAGUCCAGUCCAUUGUAAAGUUAUUGGAAAAGGAAGGGAAAGGAUAGGGAAGGAAAGGAAAGGAUAGGAAAGGGAAGGGAAGGGAAGGAACAGAGAAGUGUAUAUAUAGUUAAGCUUAAAGUCACAUACAGUUAGAUACAUACAGUUACACACAUAGAUUUACAUACAGUUUCGAUGGUGGGUUUGACAAAGGCGGUUGACUCAGUGGGUAGCGGAUUGGCCCGGCCCAUGGUGUUAUGGACGCUCUCAACACAAGUACAGUAAACCCUCAAUAUAACGGACUAAUUUAUUUAAUUUAUUUAUUUAUUUUCACAUCAGAGGACACGUCUCAAGGGCAAUAAAAAGAGUCCCAAAAAAAUCCCACUACUCGCCGCUCCUAUAAAAGAUAAAAGUAAAGAGUAGCCAAAAGAGAGGUCAAUUUUGGAUGGAGAGGUGUCUUGAUACACACUCAGUUUGGGGGGAACUUAGUCCGUUAGGGCUGAAAGUCCGUUAUAAGCGGCGAAGAUUUAAAAAAAACUUAAAAUAAUAAAACGACGAAGCUAGUAAACGUAGGUA